CGUGUAGGUGGUUAGGUAAGUCGGGUGUGAAAUCCCUGGGCUCAACCGAGGAAGUGCAUCCGAAACUACCUAGCUAGAGGGCAAUAGAGGAAGGUGGAAUUCCUAGUGUAGAGGUGAAAUUCGUAGAUAUUAGGAGGAAUACCGGUGGCGAAGGCGACCUUCUGGGUUGCUCCUGACACUGAGACGCGAAAGCGUGGGUAGCAAACAGGAUUAGAUACCCUGGUAGUCCACGCCCUAAACGAUGGGUACUAGGUGUUGCAGGAAUUGACCCCUGCAGUGCCGCAGCUAACGCAUUAAGUACCCCGCCUGGGAAGUACGGCCGCAAGGUUAAA
rnacentral:rRNA from 1 species